GUGCCAGCAGCCGCGGUAAUACCGGCAGCUCAAGUGAUGUCCGAUAUUAUUGGGCCUAAAGCGUCCGUAGCUGGCCGACCAAGUCCCCCGGGAAAUCCACCCGCCCAACGGGUGGGCGUCCGGCGGAAACUGGCCGGCUUGGAACCGGAAGGCUCGGAGAGUACGUCCGGGGUAGGAGUGAAAUCCCGUAAUCCCGGACGGACUACCGGUGGCGAAAGCGCCCUGAGAAGACGGCUUCGACAGUGAGGGACGAAAGCUCGGGUCUCAAACCGGAUUAGAUACCCCGGUAGUCC
rnacentral:rRNA from 1 species